rnacentral:rRNA from 1 species
AUUGAACGCUGGCGGUAUGCUUAACACAUGCAAGUCGAACGAUGAGAAAGAGCUUGCUCUUUCGAUUAGUGGCGGACGGGUGCGUAACGCGUAGGAAUCUACCUAUUAGUGGGGGACAACUUAGGGAAACUUAAGCUAAUACCGCAUACGCCCUACGGGGGAAAGAAGGGGAUCGCAAGACCUUUUGCUAAUAGUGGAGCCUGCGUAGGAUUAGCUAGUUGGUGGGGUAAAAGCUCACCAAGGCGACGAUCCUUAACUGGUUUGAGAGAAUGAUCAGUCACACUGGAACUGAGACACGGGCCAGACUCCUACGGGAGGCAGCAGUGGGGAAUAUUGGACAAUGGGCGAAAGCCUGAUCCAGCAAUACCGCGUGUGUGAAGAAGGCCUUAGGGUUGUAAAGCACUUUCAAUUGGAAGGAAAACCUCGAAGCUAAUACCUUCGAGUUUGACAUUACCUUUAGAAGAAGCACCGGCUAACUCCGUGCCAGCCGCCGCCGUAACAC